CCUCCCAUCGACGCGGCAUGGUCGAGUGCCCUCUCCUCUCCAGCUCAGCAGCCAUGGCCGCCCAGCAGCUCGCCCCUGCCAUGGAGCCCGACACUCCCUGCUCCACCUCACCGGACUUAGCAAAAAAGAACUGCAGGAUCUUCUUCAGGAGGGAGCGAGACUUCUGGUGCGGGCUGCAAGUUCUGGAGUGGGGAGACAGAUCAUGGGUCCUGGUGAUGCGAUGGAUGACUAACGUGCUUUGUGUAUGCUUCGUUUCAGAAUGCUGGCGGUUGUGAAGCGUCUGUUUUUUAUCUAAAUACAGUUAUAGAUAUCUUUUGUGGUCAUCGAACCUUGUUGCAUGUCGCUUUCUUGUUCUACAUGUCAUGGACCAUAUAUCCUGUGGAAAACUAUCUCUUGCCCCCUCC